rnacentral:rRNA from 1 species
CGUAGGGAGCGAGCGUUGUCCGGAUUCAUUGGGCGUAAAGAGCGCGCAGGCGGUUUGGUAAGUCGGAUGUGAAAACCCGGAGCUCAACUCCGGGCGUGCAUCCGAUACUGCCCGACUAGAGGUAGGUAGGGGAGAUCGGAAUUCCUGGUGUAGCGGUGAAAUGCGCAGAUAGCAGGAGGAACACCGGUGGCGAAGGCGGAUCUCUGGGCCUUACCUGACGCUCAGGCGCGAAAGCUAGGGGAGCGAACAGGAUUAGAUACCCUGGUAGUCCUAGCCGUAAACGUUGGGUGCUAGGUGUGGGCGGAUAUCGACCCCGUCCGUGCCGAAGCUAACGCAUUAAGCACCCCGCCUGGGGAGUACGGCCGCAAGGCUA